rnacentral:rRNA from 1 species
AAUGGGGGAAACCCUGAUCUAGCCAUGCCGCGUGAGUGAUGAAAGCCCUAGGGUCGUAAAGCUCUUUCGCCAGGGAUGAUAAUGACAGUACCUGGUAAAGAAACCCCGGCUAACUCCGUGCCAGCAGCCGCGGUAAUACGGAGGGGGUUAGCGUUGUUCGGAAUUACUGGGCGUAAAGCGCGCGUAGGCGGAUUAGAAAGUUGGGGGUGAAAUCCCGGGGCUCAACCCCGGAACUGCCUCCAAAACUACUAGUCUAGAGUUCGAGAGAGGUGAGUGGAAUUCCGAGUGUAGAGGUGAAAUUCGUAGAUAUUCGGAGGAACACCAGUGGCGAAGGCGGCUCACUGGCUCGAUACUGACGCUGAGGUGCGAAAGUGUGGGGAGCAAACAGGAUUAGAUACCCUGGUAGUCCACACCGUAAACGAUGAAUGCCAGUCGUCGGGGCGCUUGCGCUUCGGUGACACACCUAACGGAUUAAGCAUUCCGCCUGGGGAGUACGGUCGCAAGAUUAAAACUCAAAUGAAUUGACGGGG